rnacentral:rRNA from 1 species
UUUUCAGCAGCCGCGGUAAUACGUAGGGUGCGAGCGUUAAUCGGAAUUACUGGGCGUAAAGCGUGCGUAGGCGGUUUCGCAAGUCCGCUGUGAAAGCCCCGGGCUUAACCUGGGAAUGGCAGUGGAAACUAUGGGACUUGAAUCUGGCAGAGGGGGGUGGAAUGCCACGUGUAGCAGUGAAAUGCGUAGAGAUGUGGCGGAACACCGAUGGCGAAGGCAGCCCCCUGGGCCAAGAUUGACGCUCAGGCACGAAAGCGUGGGGAGCAAACAGGAUUAGAAACCCCGGUAGUCC